AGUCGAGCGGACAGAAGGGAGCUUGCUCCCGGAUGUUAGCGGCGGACGGGUGAGUAACACGUGGGUAACCUGCCUGUAAGACUGGGAUAACUCCGGGAAACCGGAGCUAAUACCGGAUAGUUCCUUGAACCGCAUGGUUCAAGGAUGAAAGACGGUUUCGGCUGUCACUUACAGAUGGACCCGCGGCGCAUUAGCUAGUUGGUGGGGUAAUGGCUCACCAAGGCGACGAUGCGUAGCCGACCUGAGAGGGUGAUCGGCCACACUGGGACUGAGACACGGCCCAGACUCCUACGGGAGGCAGCAGUAGGGAAUCUUCCGCAAUGGACGAAAGUCUGACGGAGCAACGCCGCGUGAGUGAUGAAGGUUUUCGGAUCGUAAAGCUCUGUUGUUAGGGAAGAACAAGUGCGAGAGUAACUGCUCGCACCUUGACGGUACCUAACCAGAAAGCCACGGCUAACUACGUGCCAGCAGCCGCGGUAAUACGUAGGUGGCAAGCGUUGUCCGGAAUUAUUGGGCGUAAAGGGCUCGCAGGCGGUUUCUUAAGUCUGAUGUGAAAGCCCCCGGCUCAACCGGGGAGGGUCAUUGGAAACUGGGAAACUUGAGUGCAGAAGAGGAGAGUGGAAUUCCACGUGUAGCGGUGAAAUGCGUAGAGAUGUGGAGGAACACCAGUGGCGAAGGCGACUCUCUGGUCUGUAACUGACGCUGAGGAGCGAAAGCGUGAGGAGCGAACAGGAUUAGAUACCCUGGUAGUCCACGCCGUAAACGAUGAGUGCUAAGUGUUAGGGGGUUUCCGCCCCUUAGUGCUGCAGCUAACGCAUUUAGCACUCCCCCUGGGGGAGUACGGUCGCAAGACUGAAACUCAAAGGAAUUGACGGCGGCCCGCACAAUCGGUGGA
rnacentral:rRNA from 1 species